rnacentral:rRNA from 1 species
UACGUAGGGACCAAGCGUUGUUCGGAUUUACUGGGCGUAAAGGGCGCGUAGGCGGCAAUUCAAGUCAUCUGUGAAAUCUCCGGGCUUAACUCGGAACGGUCAGAUGAUACUGCUUUGCUAGAGUGCAGGAAGGGGCAAUCGGAAUUCUUGGUGUAGCGGUGAAAUGCGCAGAUAUCAGGAGGAACACCAAUGGCGGAAGGCAGCA